rnacentral:rRNA from 1 species
AUCGAACGCUGGCGGCAGGCCUAACACAUGCAAGUCGAGCGGGGUUUUCGGACCUAGCGGCGGACGGGUGAGUAAUGCGUAGGAAGCUACCCGAUAGAGGGGGAUACCAGUUGGAAACGACUGUUAAUACCGCAUAAUGUCUACGGACCAAAGUGUGGGACCUUCGGGCCACAUGCUAUCGGAUGCGCCUACGUGGGAUUAGCUAGUUGGUGAGGUAAUGGCUCACCAAGGCGGCGAUCCCUAGCUGGUUUGAGAGGAUGAUCAGCCACACUGGAACUGAGACACGGUCCAGACUCCUACGGGAGGCAGCAGUGGGGAAUAUUGGACAAUGGGCGCAAGCCUGAUCCAGCCAUGCCGCGUGUGUGAAGAAGGCCUUCGGGUUGUAAAGCACUUUCAGUAGGGAGGAAGCGUUGUGUGUUAAUAGUACACAGCGUUGACGCUACCUACAGAAGAAGCACCGGCUAACUCUGUGCCAGCAGCCGCCGUAAUAC